UACGUAGGGCGCAAGCGUUAUCCGGAAUUAUUGGGCGUAAAGAGCUCGUAGGCGGUUUGUCGCGUCUGCCGUGAAAGUCCGGGGCUCAACUCCGGAUCUGCGGUGGGUACGGGCAGACUAGAGUGAUGUAGGGGGAGACUGGAAUUCCUGGUGUAGCGGUGAAAUGCGCAGAUAUCAGGAGGAACACCAAUGGCGAAGGCAGAUCUCUGGGCCGUAACUGACGCUGAGGAGCGAAAGCAUGGGGAGCGAACAGG
rnacentral:rRNA from 1 species